rnacentral:rRNA from 1 species
GUAGCAAGGUUAACCGAAUAGGGGAGCCGAAGGGAAACCGAGUCUUAACUGGGCGUUAAGUUGCAGGGUAUAGACCCGAAACCCGGUGAUCUAGCCAUGGGCAGGUUGAAGGUUGGGUAACACUAACUGGAGGACCGAACCGACUAAUGUUGAAAAAUUAGCGGAUGACUUGUGGCUGGGGGUGAAAGGCCAAUCAAACCGGGAGAUAGCUGGUUCUCCCCGAAAGCUAUUUAGGUAGCGCCUCGUGAAUUCAUCUCCGGGGGUAGAGCACUGUUUCGGCAAGGGGGUCAUCCCGACUUACCAACCCGAUGCAAACUGCGAAUACCGGAGAAUGUUAUCACGGGAGACACACGGCGGGUGCUAACGUCCGUCGUGAAGAGGGAAACAACCCAGACCGCCAGCUAAGGUCCCAAAGUCAUGGUUAAGUGGGAAACGAUGUGGGAAGGCCCAGACAGCCAGGAUGUUGGCUUAGAAGCAGCCAUCAUUUAAAGAAAGCGUAAUAGCUCACUGGUCGAGUCGGCCUGCGCGGAAGAUGUAACGGGGCUAAACCAUGCACCGAAGCUGCGGCAGCGACACUAUGUGUUGUUGGGUAGGGGAGCGUUCUGUAAGCCUGUGAAGGUGGCCUGUGAGGGUUGCUGGAGGUAUCAGAAGUGCGAAUGCUGACAUAAGUAACGAUAAAGCGGGUGAAAAGCCCGCUCGCCGGAAGACCAAGGGUUCCUGUCCAACGUUAAUCGGGGCAGGGUGAGUCGACCCCUAAGGCGAGGCCGAAAGGCGUAGUCGAUGGGAAACAGGUUAAUAUUCCUGUACUUGGUGUUACUGCGAAGGGGGGACGGAGAAGGCUAUGUUGGCCGGGCGACGGUUGUCCCGGUUUAAGCGUGUAGGCUGGUUUUCCAGGCAAAUCCGGAAAACCAAGGCUGAGGCGUGAUGACGAGGCACUACGGUGCUGAAGUAACAAAUGCCCUGCUUCCAGGAAAAGCCUCUAAGCAUCAGGUAACAUCAAAUCGUACCCCAAACCGACACAGGUGGUCAGGUAGAGAAUACCAAGGCGCUUGAGAGAACUCGGGUGAAGGAACUAGGCAAAAUGGUGCCGUAACUUCGGGAGAAGGCACGCUGAUAUGUAGGUGAAGCGACUUGCUCGUGGAGCUGAAAUCAGUCGAAGAUACCAGCUGGCUGCAACUGUUUAUUAAAAACACAGCACUGUGCAAACACGAAAGUGGACGUAUACGGUGUGACGCCUGCCCGGUGCCGGAAGGUUAAUUGAUGGGGUUAGCGGUAACGCGAAGCUCUUGAUCGAAGCCCCGGUAAACGGCGGCCGUAACUAUAACGGUCCUAAGGUAGCGAAAUUCCUUGUCGGGUAAGUUCCGACCUGCACGAAUGGCGUAAUGAUGGCCAGGCUGUCUCCACCCGAGACUCAGUGAAAUUGAACUCGCUGUGAAGAUGCAGUGUACCCGCGGCAAGACGGAAAGACCCCGUGAACCUUUACUAUAGCUUGACACUGAACAUUGAGCCUUGAUGUGUAGGAUAGGUGGGAGGCUUUGAAGUGUGGACGCCAGUCUGCAUGGAGCCGACCUUGAAAUACCACCCUUUAAUGUUUGAUGUUCUAACGUUGGCCCCUAAUCGGGGUUGCGGACAGUGUCUGGUGGGUAGUUUGACUGGGGCGGUCUCCUCCUAAAGAGUAACGGAGGAGCACGAAGGUUGGCUAAUCCUGGUCGGACAUCAGGAGGUUAGUGCAAUGGCAUAAGCCAGCUUGACUGCGAGCGUGACGGCGCGAGCAGGUGCGAAAGCAGGUCAUAGUGAUCCGGUGGUUCUGAAUGGAAGGGCCAUCGCUCAACGGAUAAAAGGUACUCCGGGGAUAACAGGCUGAUACCGCCCAAGAGUUCAUAUCGACGGCGGUGUUUGGCACCUCGAUGUCGGCUCAUCACAUCCUGGGGCUGA